GGCUAUAACUUUUUAAUGUUUACAUUUUUUUUUGUUAUUAUUAUUAUUAUUUAUGACACUCUUACAGUUAUAUUUGCAUGUUUAAAAAAAAACGAUUUUACGGCAUCACGUUGAAGGAAUAUCAGAAUCUUUCGUAUAUUGCGCGUUACUCGUUUGAAAAAAAAAACAGAUUACGAGAAACAAUGCGUUUUGUGAUGCAAAGAUGCAACUCUGGCAGAAUUAAUCCGCAUUUAAUUAUAAUUAAUUGGCAAACGUACGUGCCCAACAUUACAAUCUAUGGCAUUAUAGUUUUAGCGGACUUAAUGCUGGUAUCUGAUGAAGCGCGUUAAGUGCCCAUUUGCUAGCGACAUCUACCGCUAAUAAAGACAACUAAUAUUCCCAGUCAGGUGACCGGUCACGCCCGGAAGGUUCGGAAGCCCAUCGACGUCAGAAAGAUGACGAAACGACAUAUAAUAAGGGAUAAUACAGUAGCUAUUACUCCGUCCUCGUGGAUAAAGUAAGCAAUUUGUACGUAGGGAAUGUUUCGUUACGGUCUACAGCACUCGUCUCUCUCUCUCUUUUUUUUUUUUUUUUUUUUUAAUUCUUCUUGUUCUCUUCGUGUUUAAAAG
rnacentral:lncRNA from 1 species